GACGAACGCUGGCGGCGUGCCUAAUACAUGCAAGUUGAGCGCUGAAGGUUGGUACUUGUACCGACUGGAUGAGCAGCGAACGGGUGAGUAACGCGUGGGGAAUCUGCCUUUGAGCGGGGGACAACAUUUGGAAACGAAUGCUAAUACCGCAUAAAAACUUUAAACACAAGUUUUAAGUUUGAAAGAUGCAAUUGCAUCACUCAAAGAUGAUCCCGCGUUGUAUUAGCUAGUUGGUGAGGUAAAGGCUCACCAAGGCGAUGAUACAUAGCCGACCUGAGAGGGUGAUCGGCCACAUUGGGACUGAGACACGGCCCAAACUCCUACGGGAGGCAGCAGUAGGGAAUCUUCGGCAAUGGACGAAAGUCUGACCGAGCAACGCCGCGUGAGUGAAGAAGGUUGUCGGAUCGUAAAACUCUAUUGGUAGAGAAGAACGUUGGUGAGAGUGGAAAGCUCAUCAAGUGACGGUAACUACCCAGAAAGGGACGGCUAACUACGUG
rnacentral:rRNA from 1 species